GGCUGGAGCUUUUGGCUUUUUGGGAGGCGGUUCCGACAAUGGGGUGGGUGGGUCUUUGCGUUUGGACAGAGGAGGAGCAGAGGACAUGGGUCGCACAGAUUUGGACCGGAUUUUGCAUUUGUAUGUGGUUGGGGGAGGUGGUGGGGGUGUAAUUGUGGAGGAGAAUUGGAAGUGGGGGGUAUCAAUGACAAUGGAGAGACUUCGAGAGGAGAGGCUGGACGGGAGUGGGGAGGUGACUCCAUUGCGGAUGAAGAAGAUGGAAAAGAUAAUGGGGAAAGAAGAAAAUC
rnacentral:misc_RNA from 1 species